CCCUCGUACCCUAACCCCUCAUACCCUAACCCUAACCCCUCAUACCCUAACCCCUCAUACCCUAACCCCUCAUACACUAACCCUAACCCCACAUACCCUAACCCUUCAUACCCUAACCUCUAUUACUCUAACCCUAACCCCUCAUACCCUAACCUCUCAUACCCUAACCCUAACCCCUCAUACCUUAACCCCUCAUACCCUAACCCCUCAUACCCUAACCCUUUAUAUCCUAACCCCUCAUACCCUAACGCCUCAUACCCUAACCCUAACCCCUAACCCCUCAUACCCUAACCCCUCAUACCCUAACCCUAACCCCUCAUAUCUUAACCCCUCAUACCCUAACCCCUCAUACCCUAACCCCUCAUACACUAACCCUAACCCCACAUACCCUAACCCUUCAUACCCUAACCUCUCAUACUCUAACCCUAACCCCUCAUACCCUAACCUCUCAUACCCUAACCCCUCACACCCUAACCCUAACCCCUCAUACCCUAACCCCUGAUACCCUAACCCCUCAUACUCUAACCCUAACCCCUCAUACCCUAACCCCUCACACCAUAACCCUAACCCCUCAUACCCUAACCCCUCACACCCUAACCCUAACCCCUCAUACCCUAACCCCUCAUACCCUGACCUCUCAUACCCUAAUUCUAACCCCUCAUACCCUAACCCUAACCCCUCAUACCUUAACCCUAACCCCUCAUACAUUAACUCCAACCCCUCAUACCCUAAACCUAACCCUUCAAACCCUAACCCCUCAUACCUUAACCCCUCAUACCCUAACCCCUCAUACCCUGACCUCUCAUACCCUAAUUAUAACCUCUCAUACCCUAACCCUAACCCCUCAUACCUUAACCCUAACCCCUCAUACCUUAACCAUAACCUUUCAUACCCAAGGCCUAACCCCUCAUACUAUAAACCCUCAUACCCUGACCUCUCAUACCCUAUUUCUAACCCCUCAUACCCAUACCCUAAACCUAACCCUUCAUACCUUAACCCUAACCCCUCAUACUCUGACCUCUCAUACCCUAAUUCUAAUCCCUCAUGCCCUAACGCUAACCCAUCAUACCUUAACCCUACCCCCAUACCCUAAACCUAAC
rnacentral:lncRNA from 1 species